UUCAGGUUUUUUUUGUGAGAUUUUUUCAUGGUGUGGGAAUAAGACUUGGAGGUCUAAUACAGCUAGUAUAUAGAUUAGCAUCAGCUUGUCUGUAAGGAUUGAGGCUGAGAAUGGCCAUUGGAGCUGACUAAUAUGGUGACUUCAACUGUGGCUGCAGGAAAUUAUUGUGCAAAACAACUGAAACCAAAAAGAAUGUAAUUCAGACUAUUUUUGUGUAUGUUUUAAAAAAUGUUCAUAUUUUUUUACCAAAAAAAAAAUUUAAAAAUUGUAAAGAUUCUCCAUUUUUAACAAAGCUGGAAGUUGUUGGCUAAAUUGAUACUUCAUAAUUUUCCGAUUUUACUUUUAGACCUACUCUUGAUAUCUUAAUUAUGGUCAAUGUGUUAUCAAACAUUUCCAGAAGGUUAAAAAUGGAGAAUCUAAAAAAAAAAAAAAAAAAUAAUGUUAUUUUGUUAAAAUGUACAUUUUGGUUUUCUGAUUUGUUGGAUGUAUCUCUUUUUUUCUUCAUUAGUUUGUUAUUUUUUGCAGUGUUUUUAGCUAUAAAAAAGAUUAUUUCACAAGAAGCAUAGAAAAAAACACAUCUUGGUGAGAAAAGAUUAAUUCAGAUUUUUGUCCAUUUUUUCAAUUGGUUGAGAAAAUCGGAGUAAUGGAAGUGAACCACCUAGGUGAACAAUGAUGUACUAAAUAUUUUUGUUAAUUAUUUAAAUAAUUUAUAUCAAAUUAUUUAUUAUUUAUUAUAGCUAUACCAUCUUGUAUUUUUGUUAGAUAUAGCAAUGAUGUGAAGUCUAAACAGGUGAAAUUUUUGGCAAAGGGAGGUAAUAAAUUAUUCCCCUGUUUAACUCCUCAUUCUUUUAAAUUUAUUAUUUUACUUAAAUAUUCAUAUGUAUAAGUUUUUUGUUUAAUAUCAGAUGUAUACUAGCUAACAAUGACUAUUAUUCAGUGUUCUGUAAAUAAAAAAAAAUGUAAACAGAGCUCCAGAUAAUAGAUUUAAGGGUGGGAGAAAUUAUGGGACACUAUCGGUAGAAUUGAUUUGGUGAAAUUUUCAAGAUACAUGAUUAAUUGAGAGUGCAUCUGAUAUUUUUUUUAUUUAUUUCUAUAAAUAAUGGACCAAAAACGAAAAGAUUGCAAUUAAGAUAAUGAUGACAGCCACUCUGGCAGCCAGGAGAGCAGCUCUAAGGAAGAUAGUCAAUAAAAUUUUCAACCAAGUCUGAGGCUUUACCAUGAAAUUGAGAAGGCAAGUUUAUUGAAGUCAAACAAUUUCUAUACAUUUUCUAGAAAUAUUUGUUAAAUGUACAUAUUCAUCCUUAUUUUCUGCAUGAAAAACAUCUUUCAAUAAUUUAUUUACCAGUUUAAUAUUUUGGGAUACCAUUGUCAAGGGGUACAAUCAAAAUCACGUGAUGGAUAUACACACACCGGAA